rnacentral:RNase_P_RNA from 1 species
UCAGAUGGCCGGACGGCCGCGGGCCUUCGGGUUCGAGGAAAGUCCGGGCUCCAUGGCGGCAGGGUGCCGGGUAACGCCCGGCUGGAGCGAUCCAAGGGAUAGCGCCACAGAGAAUGAACCGCCUUCGCCAGUCGGCGACGGUAAGGGUGAAAAGGUGGAGUAAGAGCCCACCGCCGUCCCGGCAACGGGACGGGCAUGGCAAGCCCCGCCCGGAGCAAAACCGAAUAGGGACAGGGUGGCCUGUACGGCCGGCGCCGCCGCCAGCGCUACUUGUCCGGGUUGGUUGCUUGAGGCCACGUGCAAGCGUGUGUCCCAGAUGAAUGGUCGUCACCGCCUCGGCGGGACAGAACCCGGCUUACACGGCCGUCUGACCUU